rnacentral:tRNA from 2 species
GCCCACGUAGCUCAGUGGAUUAGAGCAAACGCCUUCUAAGCGUUUGGUCAGGAGUUCGAUUCUCUUCGUGGGCGCCA